UACAGAGGGUGCGAGCGUUGUCCGGAAUCACUGGGCGUAAAGGGCGCGUAGGUGGCGGCCCAAGUCCAUGGUGAAAGCUCGAUGCUCAACAUCGAGUCGGCCACGGAUACUGGGUUGCUCGAGCACUGUAGGGGCAGAUGGAAUUCCGGGUGUAGCGGUGAAAUGCGCAGAUAUCGGGAAGAACACCUAUGGCGAAGGCAGCUCUCUGGGACGGUACUGACGCUGAGACGCGAAAGCGUGGGGAGCGAACAGG
rnacentral:rRNA from 1 species